UACGUAGGGUGCAAGCGUUGUCCGGAAUUAUUGGGCGUAAAGAGCUCGUAGGCGGCUUGUUGCGUCAGCUGUGAAAACCCGCAGCUCAACUGUGGGCUUGCAGCUGAUACGGGCAGACUUGAGUUCGGCAGGGGAGACUGGAAUUCCUGGUGUAGCGGUGAAAUGCGCAGAUAUCAGGAGGAACACCGGUGGCGAAGGCGGGUCUCUGGGCCGAUACUGACGCUGAGGAGCGAAAGCGUGGGGAGCGAACAGG
rnacentral:rRNA from 1 species